UUGGACCUGAUAUCAGACAAGACA
rnacentral:rRNA from 1 species